rnacentral:sRNA from 1 species
UCCACCCACAAAUGAAUUAUCAGGAGUGAACCCAGAGGCACGUAUGAAUGAAAGUCCUGAUCCGAAUGCCCUGGCGGGAGUCAUCAUUGAGAGAGCCCCCAGUGACAGUCCACAGACAAGCGAAUUUAAAGGAACAACCGAGGAGGCACCUGCGAAAGAAAGAAUGUUAGAACGACUUUCCAAGUUUGAAGUUGGAGAUGCUGAAAAUGUUGCUUCAUAUGACAGCAAGAGUAAGAAAAUUGUGCAUUCAAUUGUAUCAUCCUUUGCAUUUGGAAUAUUUGGAGUUUUCCUGGUCUUACUGGAUGUCACUCUCCUCCUUGCCGACCUAAUUUUCACUGACAGCAAACUUUAUAUUCCUUUGGAGUAUCGUUCUAUUUCUCUAGCUAUUGGCUUAUUUUUUCUCAUGGAUGUUCUUCUUCGAGUAUUUGUAGAAGGGAGACAGCAGUAUUUUUCUGACUUAUUUAACAUUUUAGAUACUGCCAUUAUUGUGAUUCCUCUGCUGGUUGAUGUCAUUUACAUUUUUUUUGACAUUAAGUUGCUUAGGAAUAUUCCCAGAUGGACACAUUUAGUUCGACUUCUACGACUUAUUAUUCUGAUAAGAAUUUUUCAUCUGCUUCAUCAAAAAAGACAACUUGAAAAGCUGAUGAGAAGGCUGGUUUCAGAAAACAAAAGGCGAUACACAAGGGAUGGAUUUGACCUAGACCUCACUUACGUUACAGAACGUAUUAUUGCUAUGUCAUUUCCAUCUUCUGGAAGGCAGUCUUUCUAUAGAAAUCCAAUUGAGGAAGUUGUGCGGUUUCUAGAUAAGAAACAUCGAAACCACUAUCGAGUCUACAAUCUAUGCAGUGAAAGAGCUUAUGAUCCUAAGCACUUCCAUAAUAGGGUCAGUAGAAUCAUGAUUGAUGAUCAUAAUGUCCCCACUCUACAUGAGAUGGUGGUUUUCACCAAGGAAGUAAAUGAGUGGAUGGCUCAAGAUCUUGAAAACAUCGUAGCGAUUCACUGUAAAGGAGGCAAAGGAAGAACCGGGACUAUGGUUUGUGCCCUCCUUAUUGCCUCCGAAAUAUUUUUAACUGCCGAGGAAAGCCUAUAUUAUUUUGGAGAAAGGCGAACAGAUAAAACCCACAGCAAUAAAUUUCAGGGAGUAGAAACUCCUUCUCAGGUGAUGUAUGUGAUCUAAAAGUCCAAGUAGUAAUGGAGAAAAAGGUUGUCUUUUCCAGUACUUCAUUAGGAAAUUGUUCGAUAUUGCAUGACACUGAAUCAGACAAAGUAUUAAUUAAUGUAUAUGACGGUCCACCUGUGUAUGAUGAUGUGAAAGUGCAGUUUUUCUCUUCGAAUCUUCCUAAAUACUAUGACAAUUGUCCAUUUUUCUUCUGGUUCAACACGUCUUUUAUUCAAAAUAACAGGCUUUGUCUACCAAGAAAUGAAUUGGAUAAUCCACAUAAACAAAAAGCAUGGAAAAUUUAUCCACCAGAAUUUGCCGUGGAGAUACUUUUUGGUGAGAAAUGACUUCCAAUGAUGUUGUAGCUGGAUCCGACUAAGUAUAGCUCCCCCUUCGCCUUCUGGGAAAGAAUUAUGUUCUUUCCAACCCCUGCCACAUGUUCAUGUGUCCUAAGUCUUCCUUGAUGAUGCAUCUAUAUUUAUAUAUGUUUAUAUAUGUUCUUCAUAAAUCUAUUAAAUAUAUAUAGAUAAAA